CCCUUCUGGAGAGAGGAGAGAUGGAGAGGGAGAGAAAAUACAGACAUUGAUUUGGAGAAGAGGGCUAGCAGGUUUUCUAAUUGGACACACUUUCAUGACACACACACACACACACACACACACACACACACACACACACACACACAGCGCGAGAGAUCAGGUUUUCCUUUUGUUGUUAACCCACCUUAUACAGCAGGUUGCCCUCCUCCAUGAGUUUCUGUAGGAGGAUGAGGAGGACGUCUGGUUUGGAUGUGGCCAUCGCCCACGUAGCAUGACCUGGUCAAGAGUAGGGUGACCACUACAGCAGCGUUCCUACAGCCCACAGCCCUCUCCAGAGGCCUCACCCCACUGUGGUCCACAUGCUCCACCACCGCACCCUUCUCCACCAGUUUGCAGUAUUAGAAGGAACCCCACCAUCUCUGCAUCACCGUUGAACGCUGCCAGGUGGAGAGGGGUACGUCCGUUCCUGUCAGGGUGGUCUAUCUCUGCCCCCUUCUCCACCAGGCGCUCCACCACGCCCUUCUGACCCUUCAGACACGCCCAGCUCAGAGCUGUCUGGCCCUCCUUGUCCACGGAGGCUAAAGACGCGCCUGGAACCAGAUCA